UCCUAUCCUAACCACUGUCUCUCGUGUCAGUCUACCUGUCCUAUCCUAACCACUGUCUCUUGUGUCAGUCUACCUGUCCUAUCCUAACCACUGUCUCACGUGUCAGUCUACCUGUCCUAUCCUAACCACUGUCUCACGUGUCAGUCUGCCUGUCCUAUCCUAACCACUGUCUCGCGUGUCAGUCUACCUGUCCUAACCACGGUCUCUUGUGUCAGUCUACCUGUCCUAACCACUGUCUCUUGUGUCAGUAUACCUGUCCUAUCCUGUCUGUCUCUGUCUGUCUGUCUGUCUGUGUCAGUCUACCUGCGCUAUCCAAACCACUGUCUGUCUGUCUGUGUCAGUCUACCUGCCCUAUCCCGUCUGUCUUUUAGACACUUUGUGGAUACAGGCCCAGACGUCACGUACACUAGAUUUAACAACGGUGGAAAGGAACUCCCUCCAGACAACGCUUACAACCAAUCCAAUGCUUCUCAAUCUUCUGGGAGGAGGGUUGAAAUCGGGUUGCAACCUUCAGUGUCACGUCUCUGGAGGAAGGGCGUGGAGACAGACAGCAUCACUCCUCGGUGUCGUGUCUCUGGAGGAAGGGCAUGGAGACAGACAGCAUCACUCCUCGGUGUCGUGUCUCUGGAGGAAGGGCAUGGAGACAGACAGCAUCACUCCUCGGUGUCGUGUCUCUGGAGGAAGGGGAUGGAGACACAGCAUCACUCCUCGGUGUCGUGGCUCUGGAGGAAGGGGAUGGAGACACAGCAUCACUCCUCGGUGUCGUGGCUCUGGAGGAA
rnacentral:lncRNA from 1 species